AUUGAACGCUGGGGGCAGGCCUAACAAAUGCAAGUCGCACGAGUGGAGGGCGGGGGAGUAAUGUCAGGGAAAACGCCUGAUGGAGGGGGAUCACUACUGGAAAAGGUCGCUAAUACCGCAUACCAUCAGAUGAUCCCAGAUGGGAUUGGCUUGGUGGUGGGGUAACGGCGCACCAAGGCGACGAUCCCUAGCUGGUCUGAGAGGAUGACCAGCCACACUGGAACUGAGACACGGUCCAGACUCCUACGGGAGGCAGCAGUGGGGAAUAUUGCACAACGGGCGCAAGCCUGAUGCAGCCAUGCCGCGUGUAUGAAGAAGGCCUUCGGGUUGUAAAGUACUUUCAGCGGGGAGGCGUUACCCGCAGAAGAAGCACCGGCUAACUCCGUGCCAGCAGCCGCGGUAAUAC
rnacentral:rRNA from 1 species